rnacentral:rRNA from 1 species
CAGCCGCCGCGGUAAUACGGAGGGGGCUAGCGUUGUUCGGAGUUACUGGGCGUAAAGCGCACGUAGGCGGCUUGGUAAGUUAGAGGUGAAAGCCUGGAGCUCAACUCCAGAAUUGCCUUUAAGACUGCCGAGCUAGCAGGUGAGAGAGGUAAGUGGAAUUCCGAGUGUAGAGGUGAAAUUCGUAGAUAUUCGGAAGAACACCAGUGGCGAAGGCGGCUUACUGGCUCAUACUGGACGCUGAGGUGCGAAAGCGUGGGGAGCAAACAGGAUUAGAUACCCCAGUAGUCCCUGUCUCUUAUAC